UACAGAGGUCUCAAGCGUUGUUCGGAUUCAUUGGGCGUAAAGGGUGCGUAGGCGGCGCGGUAAGUCGGGUGUGAAAUCUUGGAGCUUAACUCCGAAACUGCAUUCGAUACUGCCGUGCUUGAGGACUGGAGAGGAGACUGGAAUUUACGGUGUAGCGGUGAAAUGCGUAGAUAUCGGAAGGAACACCUGUGGCGAAGGCGACAUCCUGGACCGGUAUUGGCGCUGAGUGAGCGAAAGCCAGGGGAGCAAACGGG
rnacentral:rRNA from 1 species